GAAAUGCGAUAAGUAAUGUGAAUUGCAGAAUUCAGUGAAUCAUCGAAUCUUUGAACGCACCUUGCACCCUUUGGUAUUCCGAAGGGUACACCCGUUUGAGUGUCAUUGUAAUCUCACCCCCUUGACUUUUUUGUUGAUCGGUGUGGACCUGGAUGUUGCCGUGUAACAAACGGCUCGUCUGAAAUGCCUGAGUGUACCCUGCUUUGCAGCGUAUUCGGUGUGAUAAAUCUUUACCGGAGUUGACUUUUUCGAGUCGCGCUUGUACCUGUGGGCUCUAUGCUUCCAAACAGUCCUGACAAGGACAAUCUUUGACAAUUUGACCUCAAAUCGGGUGGGACUACCCGCUGAACUUAA
rnacentral:misc_RNA from 1 species